rnacentral:rRNA from 1 species
CCCUUAGAUGUCCUGGGCCGCACGCGCGUUACACUGAUGCAUUCAACGAGCUUAUAACCUUGGCCGAGAGGCCUGGGCAAUCUUGUUAACGUGCACCGUGAUAGGGAUAGAUUAUUGAAAUUAUUAAUCUUGAACGAGGAAUUCCUAGUAAACGCAGAUCAUCAAUCUGCAUUGAUUACGUCCCUGCCCUUUGUACACACCGCCCGUCGCACCUACCGAUUGGAUGGUCCGGUGAAGCCUCGGGAUUGUGGUUCUUGCCGCUUUAUUGUGGCGUGACCGCGAGAACUUGUCUAAACCUUAUCAUCUAGAGGAAGGUGAAGUCGUAACA